rnacentral:rRNA from 1 species
CAAUAGCGUAUAUUAAAGUUGUUGCAGUUAAAAAGCUCGUAGUUGGAUUUCUGGUGGGAGCGAUCGGUCUGGCGCUUAGCGCGAGUACUUGCAUCGUCUCCGGCCAUCCUUGGGGAGAGUCUGUCUGGCAUUAGGUUGUCGGGCAGAGGAUCCUCAUCGUGUACUGUGAAAAAAUUAGAGUGUUCAAAGCAGGCUUAUGCCGUUGAAUAUAUUAGCAUGGAAUAAUAAGAUAGGACUUUGGUACUAUUUUGUUGGUUUGCGCACCAAAGUAAUGAUUAAUAGGGACAGUUGGGGGUAUUCGUAUUCCGUUGUCAGAGGUGAAAUUCUUGGAUUUACGGAAGACGAACUACUGCGAAAGCAUUUACCAAGGAUGUUUUCAUUAA